rnacentral:rRNA from 1 species
GAUAAACGCUGGCGGCGUGCAUAACACAUGCAAGUCGAACGAUGAAGAUUAAAAGAUUUCUUCGGAAUGAACUUAAUUGGAUUAGUGGCGGACGGGUGAGUAACGCGUGAGUAACCUGCCUUGUACAAGGGGAUAGCCGUUGGAAACGACGAAUAAUACCCUAUGACAUCAAAUAAUCGCAUGAUAAUUUGAUCAAAGAUUUAUCGGUAUAAGAUGGACUCGCGUCUGAUUAGCUAGUUGGUAGAGUAAAAGCCUACCAAGGCAACGAUCAGUAGCCGGCUUCAGAGAGUGUACGGCCACAUUGGGACUGAGACACGGCCCAGACUCCUACGGGAGGCAGCAGUGGGGAAUUUUGCACAAUGGGGGAAACCCUGAUGCAGCGACGCCGCGUGAUUUAGAAGGCCUUCGGGUUGUAAAAAUCUUUUGUAUGGGAAGAAAAUGACAGUACCAUACGAAUAAGGACCGGCUAAUUACGUG